GCAAGGAAAAUGCCAGUGACUGCAAGUCUUGCCAACCCACAUUGGCCAGGACCUGUGUUACCCUUCAGCCCUCUAAGGAAAUGGGAGGAGCUGCUCUCCUGAAAAUGAGGGUCAAGUAACUGCAGACAGACAUCACAGAAACCAACUAGGGCCCCCAGGGCAGGCAGAGCCUGAGUGACGCUGCCAUGGGCCCCCAGCUCCUGGGCUGUUUCCUGUUUUGUCUCCUGGCAGCAGGCCCCCUGGAAGCUGAUGUGACCCAGAGCCCAAGACACCGCAUCACAGAGACCAGAAAGAGGGUGACAUUGACCUGUUCUCAGAAUAUGAACCACGAUGUGAUGUACUGGUAUCGACAAGACCCAGGGCUGGGUCCAAAGCUGAUCUACUUUUCAAGGAAUGUUGGGUUUAUUGAAAAAGGAGAUAUCCCUGAUGGAUACACUGCCUCUCGAGAAGAGAAACCAAACUUCCCCCUGACCUUGGAGUUGGCCAGCACCAACCAGACCUCCUUGUACCUCUGUGCCAGCAGUGAAUACACAGCGUGACACAGCCAGCUGCUCUCUGCACAAAAAGGGCAGCCACAAGAGAGGAGGCUCCUCCCUUGGGAGGCCCCACCCAGCCAAGAGGACAAACUUCCCCACCAUCAGAGACUCCAGGAGUCCUCCUUUGCCUCCCCAGCUUUGGGGGGUCUGAGCAAGGCAACCCCUUGGCAACGUGUUCCCCUCUUACUUCCAGUACCCAUGAGCUUUUCAAAGUGUAGGCAGGACACGCUCCCUGUGUGAAGUCUAGCACCAAGGGUAAAGAAUUUCUUUCCUAGAAAAGGAAUUUUAUGCAUACUGCAAUCCUUCGUCCUCACUGAGCUUCACUGUAGCCCAAACUGAAGAUUUCAUUUUCAGCCCAAUCACUCAACCAAAUUUCAAUCCCACCUGCUAGGACCUAUUACUGGAGGUUUUGACACUUGGGGAGAAUAGCACAUCUAAGUUGUUAACUAAAUCUAAUAUCUCUCCCAUUUCCCUCAUCUGUGCAAGUGGUCUGCCAUCCAGCCAAACACACAAGCCAGAGAUGUAGGAGUCGUGCUCACCAUCUCAGACAUACUCUUCCUCCACACUUAAUCCACCACCAUCGCCUGCAUGCUUCUUAGUAUUAAAUUCCUUGCAAAUUUUACCAAUUUUCCUAAUCUCACUGAAAACACUGUGAUCUGAUAUGUGGUCUCCCACCACCUUCCAAUGUGCUCCCUGCCCCCACCCACAAACCACUCUGGAGCCUAAAACCCAUCAGUGUCUUUCAUUUACUUAAAGUCACAAGUUUAUGGUAGUUCAC